CCUAUUAUAGAUUUUUUAUUAAAUUUGAUUAUUAUUAGUUAAGUUCUUUAAAAUUCAAAGAUUUUGGCGGUUAAUUAAUUCUUCUUAGAGGAACAUGUAUUUUAAUUGAUAAUCCACGAUAUUUUAUACCAUUUUGUAUUUGUAUAUCUCUAUUGUUAGAAAAUUUUAUAUAAAAUUUUCCUUUAUUAUAUUAAGUGUAAUUUUAGGUCAAGGUGCAGUUUUAAUUAAUGGUUUAUAUGUGUUACUUAUAUUUUAUAAAAUAUUAAGUUCUUAUUGGUUUUAUUUAGGAUUUAAAAGUAAAUUAAAUUAAUUAAUUUUUUUAAAAUAAGCUCUAGUUAAUGUACACAUC
rnacentral:rRNA from 1 species